GAUGAACGCUGGCGGCGUGCUUAACACAUGCAAGUCGAACGAAGCACUCUAUUUGAUUUUUUUCGGAAAUGAAGAUUUUGUGACUGAGUGGCGGACGGGUGAGUAACGCGUGGGUAACCUGCCUCAUACAGGGGGAUAACAGUUGGAAACGACUGCUAAUACCGCAUAAGCGCACAGUACUGCAUGGUACAGUGUGAAAAAUGCCGGUGGGAUGGGAUGGACCCGCGUCUGAUUAGCUAGUUGGUGGGGUAACGGCCUACCAAGGCGACGAUCAGUAGCCGACCUGAGAGGGUGACCGGCCACAUUGGGACUGGUACACGGCCCAACCUCCUACGGGAGGCAGCAGUGGGGAAUAUUGCACAAUGGGGGAAACCCUGAUGCAGCCACGCCGCGUGAACGAAGAAGUAUUUCGGUAUGUAAAGUUCUAUCAGCAGGGAAGAUAAUGACGGUACCUGACUAAGAAGCACCGGCUAAAUACGUGCCAGCCGCCGCCGUAA
rnacentral:rRNA from 1 species